ensembl:ncRNA lncRNA:CR43150 long non-coding RNA:CR43150
CCUGGCCGAGCUGCUACACUAAAUUGGUUCUUGCCCGUUCUGUUUUGGUAGCGAAGCUCACAACACAGAGAAGUUUUCCCGCCAAAUGUCUCGAAAUGGGGAAGCGAAAAGCAAAAUAAUCCAAAGCGAGCAGAACUCAACUCAACCGAGCCGACUUCAGCAGACAAUAAUACAUGCAUCACCAGAGACCAGACCACAGAACUUGACGCAUGGGAGGACAGAAGUUCGAAACCCGGACCGAGGCAGAUGCGGGCCGAGGAUGAGGUUGGUCGCUCCGUCAUUGUUGUUCUGCUUUCCGCCGUUUCAAUAUAAAAAUCAACAAACGAAAAUCAUCAGCAAAUUGUGUGCACUGCACAAAAUGUAGAAUUUGACACAUCAGGUUUAUAUUGUUUAGAUGAUUUUUAACAUACAUCAUAUCGAACUGCAAAAUAAAAAACAAAUUAACGACGAUGUAAAACACAUAAAAUGAAAGUUGU